rnacentral:rRNA from 1 species
GUGCCAGCAGCCGCGGUAAUAUAGAGGGUGCGAGCGUUAAUCGGAUUUACUGGGCGUAAAGCGUGAGUAGGCGGCUGAUUAAGUCGGAUGUGAAAUCCCUGAGCUUAACUUAGGAAUUGCAUUCGAUACUGGUCAGCUAGAGUAUGGGAGAGGAUGGUAGAAUUCCAGGUGUAGCGGUGAAAUGCGUAGAGAUCUGGAGGAAUACCGAUGGCGAAGGCAGCCAUCUGGCCUAAUACUGACGCUGAGGUACGAAAGCAUGGGGAGCAAACAGGAUUAGAUACCCUGGUAGUCCAUGCCGUAAACGAUGUCUACGAGCCGUAGAGACCAUUGAGGCUUUAGUGGCGCAGCUAACGCGAUAAGUAGACGGCGUGGGGAGUACGGUCGCAAGACUAAAACUCAAAUGAAUGGGCGCGCGCCCGCACAAGCGGUGGAGCAUGUUGUUUAAUUCGAUGCAACGCAAAAGAACCUUACCUGGCCUUGACAUACUAGAAACUUUCGAGAGAUGGGAUUGGUGCAUACGAGAAUCUAGAUACAGGUGCUGCAUGGCUGUCGUCAGCUCGUGUCGUGAGAUGUUGGGAUAAGUCCACGCACGAGCGCUAUCUCUUUUUCUUUACUUGCCAGCAUUUCGGAUGGAAACUUUAAGGGAUACUGCCAGUGACAAGCUGGAGGGAGGGCGGGGGACGACGUCAAGUCAUCAUGGCUCUUUACGGCCAGGGCUACACACGUGCUUACGAUGGGUCGGGUACAAAGGGUUGCUACCUAGCGAUAGGGAUGCUAAUCUCAAAAAGCCGGAUCGGUAGUCCGGAUUUGGAAGUCUGGCACUCGACUCCAUGAAGUCGGAAUCGGCUAGUAAUCCGCGGAAUCAAGAAUGGCGGCGGAUGAUAACCUUUCGCGGGACCUUGGCACUCACUGC